CCCUUAGAUGUCCUGGGCUGCACGCGCGCUACACUGAUGUGUUCAAUAAGCACCUAACCUACUCCGAAGGGACUGGGUAACCUUUGCAAAGCACAUCGUGAUGGGGAUAGAUUAUUGCAAUUAUUAGUCUUGAACGAGGAAUUCCUAGUAAGCGCAAGUCAUCAGCUUGUGUUGAUUACGUCCCUGCCCUUUGUACACACCGCCCGUCGCUCCUACCGAUUGAGUGUUCCGGUGAGCUCUUCGGACUGCGCGGUCUGCAGUUUCUGCGUUCCGUGCGGAAAGUUGUGCAAACCUUAACAUUUAGAGGAAGGAGAAGUCGUAACA
rnacentral:rRNA from 1 species